rnacentral:lncRNA from 1 species
AAAGUGGGGAUUGCUCGGUUGAAAGGGCAUAUCAUUGGAGGCGACCGCAAUUGCGUGAAGUGUCUAAAAUCAACAAAAUUUGUUCGAAAUGAAGUGCUUCAGUAUGAGAAUACGAGGAAGGCUAAAGCAAUGACAAUGAAAAUGUCUAAGAAAGUUGUGGACGAAGAAUCUGAUGAUGAUGAUAUAUUGAUAGUUGAAGAUAAUUCUUCACUUCCGA